UCUCUCUUUUCUCUUGUCUACUGCCAUGUGAGACGUGUCUUUCACCUUCUGCCAUGAUGGUGAGGCCUCCCCAGCCACGUGGAACUGCGGGACCCCCAUACCCUGGGAACACCACAAGCCGCUCCUGAAGGCAAACAGAAGACUCAGAGACAGAGCAGCAGAGCCUGAGCCAUAAGGUGGAGGGAAACAUGCCCCAGCCACCUCCUGUUCUUGACACUGCUGGCCCCGGAUCCAUAUAGGAGUGUUGGCCUGUGACCCUUAUGAUGGGUGAGAAGAGGUAUCACACCUUUUCCAUCCCUACACCUGGAAGGAAGGUUCUGCAGAGAGUUCAUGAGAGAGGAUAUCUGGAAUGUAAUCAGAGCAUACCUCUCACUAUUUAAGAGAUGCUGCUACUCAAAGCGUGGCCUCGCAUUCCUUGGAGCUGAUUAGAAAUGCAGGGUCUCGGGCCACCCCCACGGCUGAAUCCGAAUCAGCGCAUUAAGAAGUUCCUCGGGGAAUUCGUGAAAAAACGAUCAACGAACCUUCAUUUAAGAAAAAGCACAGCGUUCUCAUGGGAACCAAGAAGACAAGGCCUUAAUGCAAAGUAUAUUCUGAGAGAAGAAAACAAGAAGAACAGAGACGAUUGGAUUACAGCAAUUGCUCUUAUAACUCCCCCCCGCCCACCCCCUCGAUGAGAAGCUGGUUUGAAGAACUGAGUAUCAAAUCCCUGCUGAGCUCUGAGGUUCCAGGUGUGGAUGGGGUGUGGGGCCCACGUAUGUGUCAGUGUGCGUGGGUGUGACUAUGUGAGCAACUGGGUGUGUGAGAUUCAGGCCCAGUCGGCUUGUCCAGAAGCCAGGCCUGAGAUGCCCUGGGGGUGCUAACAGGAGUAGAGAGACACCAAAGGAACACAGGCUUUGAAACGAGGCAGAAUUGAGUUGGAGUCCCAACCCCACCAACCCCACCUCUCUUCACUCCCCAGGCAGCAUAGAAAACAGCGCCUGCCUCUCUCCAGGCAUCCUCGUGGAAGUGACAUCAUCUUUAAACCCUGCGUGGCAAUCCCUGACGCACCGCCGUGAUGCCUAGGGAAGACAGGGCAACCUGGAAACCCAACCCCUUCCUUAAGAUCAUCCAACUAUUAGAUGAUUAUCUGAAAUGUUUCGUCGUGGGAGCAGACAAUGUGAGCUCCAAGCAGAUGCAGCAGAUCCGCAUGUCCCUCCGUGGGAAGGCCGUGGUGCUGAUGGGCAAGAACGCCAUGAUGUGCAAGGCCGUCCGAGGGCACCUGGAAAACAGCCCAGCUCUGGAGAAACUGCUGCCUCAUUUCCAGGGGAAUGUGGGCUUUGUGUUCACCGAGGAGGACCUCACUGAGAUCAUGGACAUGCUACUGGCCAGUAAGGUACCAGCUGCCACCCAUGCUGGUGCCAUUACCCCAUGUGAAGUCACUGUGCCAGCCCAGAAUACUGGUCUGGGGCCCGAGAAAACCUCCUUUUUCCAGGCUUUAGGUAUCACCACUAAAAUCUCCAGGGGCACCAUUGAAAUCCUGAGUGAUGUGCAGCUGAUCAAGACGGGAGACAAAGUGGGAGCCAGUGAAGCUAAGCUGCUGACCAUGCUCAACAUCUCCCCCUUCUCCUUUGGGCUGGUCAUCCAGCAGGUGUUUGACAAUGGCGGUAUCUGCAAUCCUGAAGUGCUUGACAUCACAGAGGAAACCACAUUCUCGCUUCCUGGAGUGUGUCCGCAAUAUUGCCAGUGUUUGUCUGCAGAUCGGGUACCCAACUGUUGCAUCAGUGCCCCAUUCUAUCAUCGACGGGUACAAAGGAGUCCUGGCCUUGUCUGUGGAGACUGAUGACACCUUCCUGCUUGCUGAAAAGGUCAAGGCCUUCUUGGCUGAUCCAUCUGCCUUUGUGGCUGCUCUCCCUGUGGCCGCUGCCACCACGGCUGCUCCUGCUGCUGCUGCUGCUGCAGCCUCAGCUAAGGUUGAAGCCAAGGAAGAGUUGGAGGAGUUGGAUGAGUAUACGGGAUUUGGUCUCUUCGACUAAUCACCAAAAAGCAACCAACUUAGCCAGCUUUAUUUGCAAAACAAGGAAAUAAAGGCUUAUUUAAAAAAAAAAAAAAAGAAGAAAGAAAGAAAGAAAAAAAAAGAAAAUAAAACAACACCUGCUUCCACGGUUGUGGCAGUGGGGUUUAAAGAAAAGGAGCAGGCAGAAAGAGCACACAGUAGUGAAGCACACCCCCAGCCUCUUAAAGGCCACGACAGCCUCAGAGCAGGCAGGAGGAGCACACAGCAGGUGUUUAGUCAGCGUGAAGCCCCCAGCCCCUGACAGGCCACGACAGCCUCAGAGCAGGCAGAAGGAGCACACAGUAGGUAUUCAGCCAGUGUGAAGCCGCCAGCCCCUGACAGGCCACGACAGCCUCAGAGCAGGCAGAAGGAGCACACAGUAGGUGUUCAGCCCUCAUGAAGCAGGGCCCCAGCCCCUGACAGGCUAUGACAACCUGAGGCAGGACCUCAUGGUGAUCUGUAACCUGACCCCAGAGGAGGACAGCAGGGAGGACGAAUGGCACCCUGGGAGGCCAGAGCCUGGCGUCCCACCCUGUUACCCUCGUGCUCAGUGUCCAGGGGCUGCGGGUUAGCCAUGGCCUGCCGCGGAGCCUUAGGAGAGACCCUCCAGCCAUUCGGUGGAGCGUGGAGACCCCUCGUGGCCACACGGAGGACUGCAGCUGCACCGCGUGACCUCUCGCCAGCAGCGGAGCUGCUCUACAGCCCUGGCAGAGCUCCGCAAACAUUGCUUGAGCUCUUUUUUAUUUUAUUUUUAUUUUUUGAGACAGGAUCUCACUCUCGCCCAGGCUGGAGUGCAGUGGCACAGU